ensembl:lncRNA
GGAAAGCUGCCUGAAGAGGACCACAGAGAUUGGGAUGAGACGUAUCAAGCCCAGGGGCAGCAAAGCUCUCCAGCAGGCAGGGAGAGUGGGACAGAUCCCCCUGCAGCCUCAGGAGCCAGCCCUGCCUGCACCUUGGCCUCAGGCUUUGGGCCUCCAGGGGCGUGGACAGUAAGUUCCUGCUGGUGAGUCCUCCCUUCUGUGGAGACUCCCACAGAGCUAAAGGAAUCAGGUCAAUGAGGACAGCACCAAUCAUGUCCUCCAAGGACGUGGGGCUGGAGCAGAAAGAGAGGGGCCUGAACACCAUCCCCUACCUGGGAAGUGCAGGAGAGAGGCAGAAGACUCGGAAGGUACCUAAGAGAAACACCACUGCCCCUCAGAUCUGAAGGGGACAUUCGAAGCAGUAGUGAGGACCAUGGCUGUCCUCUGCUGGGCUUCCAAAGUGCCAACAUGCCCACCUAUCUCUCCAGCCUUCACCUCCCCACCUGUCCCAGCGCCCUGUGUGUGCUCAGGACCCCUGGAGAUGCUGGGAAGAGCACCCCACACUGUAAUGGGCAGAGCCAGCCACACAAGAAGCCCCCAAUCCCAUGGCUGGAACCCUGAGAAAACGGCACACCCCUCUCGGACACAGGUCCCCACGUGAUGCCAACAGAACCUCACCUCUCUGCCCUUGCUGGGAGGCCUGGGGGCUGAGCUGGCAUGCAUGACAGCAGUAUCCCCACCAAGGAUACAGCCACUGUGGGGAACUCACACUUGUCACAGGCCAAAAUGAGACUGUACACAAGAACACUAAGCAGCAAGCAGCUCUCGGUAUUGACAAUGAAUUAACCUCCCACAUUACAGCUGUGUGGAAAGCUGCCCACAGCUGCACAACACAGAGCCAUAACUCCUACACUCUCUGCCAAUGGCCUCAGCCCCACUUCUGUCGGACUCAGCACCACACUACAGCAGGAGCGCCUGGGAGAGACAGGCACAGCACAAUCUCUCGCAGGCCCUGGCUACAGCUGCAAACACAGCCUGUGCUGACAACAGGGCCAGGGAAAGUCCUGACACCACCAGACACUCCGCACCCACAAGCCCAGGGCAUAACAGCCAGGACUGGCACAUGGUAGAGAAGCACCAACCCAGAUCACAGGCUCCACCUGUCUCUAAAGACCAGAGUUGGCCCAGCCAGCUUUCCACUAGCCACCAGGACAGGGUGAGGAGGACCCCCACCCCCACCCCGGCAGUGCCUCCAACAAUACUCCCCCACCCCGGCCUCUGGCCUUUUGGCUUCGCAGCUACUUGGUUACACACUGCAGAGGCACAGGGGGACAAAAGCCAUUGUCCUGAGCUCCAGAAGCGAACAACAGAGAGAGGGCCUGUCUCAGGCUCCCUGAUGAAAACAAGUACAUUGGAAAAGUGAUGGGAAUCUCUGCAAUAAAGGCACACCAGACCACCGUGAUUGGUAAGUUGGAGGGAUUAUCAGCUCCCAUCGGAAACUGGACCUUCUUCAGGGGAAAAGCAGCUGAAACCUGUAGUAGAAACUUUCAGAGUGCAACCCUGCAGGAGGACAGGGAGCUCAACUUGGGACUUGCAACCAAAAUCUGCCUGAAUCUCAUGGGUCUGGGACUGGCUUACUGAGACUCAUUGACACUGCUGCCCACGUUGUCUACUGUGACAGCAGAGACACACCCUGAAGAAGGCCCUUUAUUUUUUAAAGGUGAUAGAUUAAUAACUACCACAAAUUGUCAUUCUUUAAGAGGUAUUUGAUGUUAUGGUGUUGCUGAUUGUAUGACUUGGGCUAAGGUGUUGUGAUUGAUCUGAAC